rnacentral:rRNA from 1 species
GACGAACGCUGGCGGCGUGCUUAACACAUGCAAGUCGAACGGAAAGGCCCUGCUUUUGUGGGGUGCUCGAGUGGCGAACGGGUGAGUAACACGUGAGUAACCUGCCCUUGACUUUGGGAUAACUUCAGGAAACUGGGGCUAAUACCGGAUAGGAGCUCCUGCUGCAUGGUGGGGGUUGGAAAGUUUCGGCGGUUGGGGAUGGACUCGCGGCUUAUCAGCUUGUUGGUGGGGUAGUGGCUUACCAAGGCUUUGACGGGUAGCCGGCCUGAGAGGGUGACCGGCCAAAUUGGGACUGAGAUACGGCCCAGACUCCUACGGGAGGCAGCAGGGGGGAAUAUUGCACAAUGGGCGGAAGCCUGAUGCAGCAACGCAGCGUGCGGGAUGACGGCCUUCGGGUUGUAAACCGCUUUCGCCUGUGACGAAGCGUGAGUGACGGUAAUGGGUAAAGAAGCACCGGCUAACUACGUG